rnacentral:rRNA from 1 species
UACAGAGGUCUCAAGCGUUGUUCGGAUUCAUUGGGCGUAAAGGGUGCGUAGGCGGCGCGGUAAGUCGGGUGUGAAAUUUCGAGGCUUAACUUCGAAACUGCAUUCGAUACUGCCGUGCUUGAGGACUGGAGAGGAGACUGGAAUUUACGGUGUAGCGGUGAAAUGCGUAGAUAUCGUAAGGAAGACCAGUGGCGAAGGCGGGUCUCUGGACA